UUGAACCUGUCGACGACAUUUUACUCGUGAGGAUUCUCGGAUUAGCGUGGUACGACGCAGGUAUCUCUCAUCCGAUUGACAUCGAUACCGGAUUGUUCGACCGAAAAAUUACGCGACAAAAGCGCCUUCCUUUCUUGCAAAAUUUUUCACGAACGUGCUUAACGUGACAGGCAACUCCGAGAGAGGAUAGGUCAUUGUGAGAGAGAAAGAGGUUACAUAACCUCUUUCUUGGUGGUUGUGUUUAGCCGGAUCGUCCACGUGUCGAUCAAGAUUAUCCGCCGUACGAUCGCGAUAGCCGUGGAACUCGUUCGAACUUCUUACCACGAAGGCAAAGGUCAGAUUGUCAAUUAGCUGGUGAUAAUCCAAGGCAAAGUGAUUCCAGAUAAAGGAAAGUCGAAUCGUUUUGCCACGUAACUGUGACGAUUACGUAACGUGAAAGGAUAGUAACCUAACGUCGUGUCUGGGGGCUAGAGAGGAGGAGAGGGAAGGAUCUUUUACACGCUUUUUUUUUUGACAAACUCUUCUAACUCACAACGUUGGUUAUGUUUGGGUAAUUUCUGACUAAAACGCUGAAGUUAUAUAAAGUGAUGAAUGGAUGGUAAAAUCUCUGCCAAACAAAUCACGUUCUUCUUUUCAAACAGAAGUUCUGUUCGACCCUUCGAUAAAUCUCGG